AGAGUUUGAUCAUGGCUCAGGACGAACGCUGGCGGCGUGCUUAACACAUGCAAGUCGAGCGGAAAGGCUUCCUUCGGGAAGUACUCGAGCGGCGAACGGGUGAGUAACACGUGGAUAAUCAACCUCUUGCUCUGGAAUACCCCGGGGAAACUCGGAUCAAUGCCAGAUAAAGUGCGGUGCUGCAGGGUGCCGUACCAAAGAUAGCUUCGGCCUUCGGCGAGAGACGAGUCCGCGGCCCAUUAGCUAGUUGGCGGGGUAAUGGCCCACCAAGGCUACGAUGGGUAGCUGGUCUGAGAGGAUGAUCAGCCGCACUGGGACUGAGACACGGCCCAGACUCCUACGGGAGGCAGCAGUGGGGAAUCUUGCGCAAUGGGCGAAAGCCUGACGCAGCAACGCCGCGUGCGGGAGGAAGGCCUUCGGGUUGUAAACCGCUUUCAGGGGAGACGAAGCUUCCAGGGUGAAUAGCUCUGUGGAGUGACGGUAUCUUCAGAAGAAGUCCCGGCUAACUACGUGCCAGCAGCCGCGGUGAUACGUAGGGGACAAGCGUUGUCCGGAAUUAUUGGGCGUAAAGCGCGUGUAGGCGGCCAAGUAAGUCUUACGUGAAAUCCUGAGGCUCAACCUCAGGCCUGCGCGGGAUACUGCUUGGCUAGAGUCCGGAAGAGGAGAGUGGAAUUCCUGGUGUAGCGGUGGAAUGCGCAGAUAUCAGGAGGAACAUCCGUGGCGAAGGCGGCUCUCUGGGACGGUACUGACGCUGAGACGCGAAAGCGUGGGGAGCGAACAGGAUUAGAUACCCUAGUAGUCC
rnacentral:rRNA from 1 species